CAAAAGUAAUGAUUUAUUAUAGACAGUAUUAUUUAUUAACAAAUAAAAAUUCUCAAUUAUUCAUAAAUUUAGAUUAUACUAAUUUGCAAAGAUCAGCACGUUAUAUAAGACAAUCCAACUUCCUGUUUUCCCACUACUUCCUAUUUUCCUGUACUUCACACUGUCUUUAAUAGCAGUAAUAUUAUAGAGCAGUACACACACAUGCACACACAGAAACCAGGUCAUAUUUAAUAUGUUUGUAAUAUUCUGGGUUUGUGUGCAGUUACACAGUGCUAAGGAGAUAAACCGACUCUCCACCUUCCCGUUCCCUCCUCACAUAAACUCCAUCAACCGACGAGUCAACACUGAGUUUGAUUUGGAUUCAUGGGGCAGUGAUGAAACAGAAAACAUCACAGGUUUGGAACUGCCUGGUGUGUGUGUGUGUGUGAUAUUUCAAUUCAAUUCAAUUGUAUUUGUAUAGCGCUUUUUACAAUAGACAUUGUCUCAAAGCAGCUUUACAGAAAUAUCAACACGGUAUACAGAUAUUAAAGGUGUGAAUUUAUCCCAACUGAGUGAGCCACUGAGUGGCGACGGUGGCAAGGAAAAACUCCCUAAGAUGUUUUAAGAGGAAGGAACCUUGAGAGGAACCCGACUCAGAAGGAACCCGUCCUCAUCUGGGUAACAACAGAUAGUGUGAAAAAGUUAAUUAUGGAUUUAUAUGAAGUCUGUUUGGCCUUAGGAGCAGCCGUAGUCCCAGCAGUCUGGAAUUGGAGUAGAUUUGAGCUCCAUCCAGAGGCAGAAAGGAUCUGGAUCUCUAGUAUCUCCAUAAAAUCGUGUGGGGCUCAGCAGAAGGAGAGAGGGAGAGAAAAGAUUAUUAUGUAAUCUGUACCCACCUCGUAAUUUCCUGAUAUCAUUUGGUUUUCCACACUUGUAAUGGUCUCAUCUGUGUGUUCAUAGCUACUGAAAUCUUAAUGAAACAAAAAAAGCAGAUGUUAUUUUAAAGUUAUGACUUUUUUUCAAAAUUGUCAACCGUUUACCAAUCAUGUUCAAGAUCCUAUGACAUCACUAUGAUCUAGAGGUUCAUAAUAUUGUGAUAAAAUUAAACAUGGUAAAUAGAUAGAUAGACAGAUAGUUCAAUUUGCAAGAAUGAAAAACACAGAACAGUAAAGAUGUUAAUAUAUAUUUCAGAAACUGAAAGGUGGUAUGCAUUAUGUAACAGGUUUUGCCAUUUACUUAAACUCUUCAGGUGUACUAAGGGGUACUACAUUUUGA